rnacentral:rRNA from 1 species
GAUCGGAGACCUUAGCANAUUGUCUAAGCGGCGGACGGGUGAGUAACGCGUGGGUAACCUGCCUUAAACAGGUGGAUAACACAGGGAAACUUGUGCUAAUACCGCAUAAUAUACUUGGGUGGCAUCACCUGGGUAUCAAAGGAGCAAUCCGGUAUAAGAUGGACCCGCGUCCGAUUAGCUAGUUGGUGGUGUAACGGACCACCAAUGCUUCGAUCGGUAUCCGAACUGAGAUGUUGAUCGGUCACAUUGGGACUGAGACACGGCCCAGACUCCUACGGGAGGCAUCAGUGGGGAAUAUUGCGCAAUGGGGGAAACCCUGACGCAUCAACGCCGCGUGAAUGAUGAAUGUCUUCGGAUUGUAAACUUCUUUGAUGAUGGACGAAUAAAUGACGGUACCUCAAAAACAAGCCACGGCUAACUACGUGCCAUCAGCCGCGGUAAU